AAUGUUUCUUGCUCAAAUGAGUAUUCCAAUCACAGUUGCAGAUCUUUGUUUUCUGCUGACUGAGAUGCUCAUUUGAGCAAGCA
rnacentral:pre_miRNA from 14 species